rnacentral:rRNA from 1 species
UACGUAGGGUGCAAGCGUUGUCCGGAAUUAUUGGGCGUAAAGAGCUCGUAGGCGGCUUGUCGCGUCGACUGUGAAAUCCCGCGGCUCAACUGCGGGUCUGCAGUCGAUACGGGCAGGCUAGAGUUCGGUAGGGGAGACUGGAAUUCCUGGUGUAGCGGUGAAAUGCGCAGAUAUCAGGAGGAACACCGGUGGCGAAGGCGGGUCUCUGGGCCGAUACUGACGUGAGGAGCGAAAGCGUGGGGGAGCGAACAGG